GAGGGAAGCAAGUGAGGUCACAA
rnacentral:siRNA from 1 species